rnacentral:lncRNA from 1 species
UUUAAUCUCAAGCUGAGGAGAGGAGAGUGAGCCUGGAACUGAAUUCAUGUUUGUGUUUAAAAAGGGAGGAGGGAUCAAGGAUUUGGUUUGAGGGGAAAUUCCAUUGAGGACACAUUAAGGAUCUUGACAUUUAGGCUUGGUGUUUCUUUACUGUUAACUUUGUGGAGGGAGGAUGGUGCGCAUACAGUUGAUUAAUGUCAAGAAUGGAAAGGAGACACGAAUAAUAAGAGACAGCUUUGCCUGAAGGGACUGUUCAAUAGUAUGUCAUUGUUCUGUUGUAGUGUCCAAGGAUGCAUUCAUGUCCUUGCAGGACUUCAGGUCCAAGACAACAUAAAAUUCCACAAAGCCAAGUUAAACAGAGUUGAAGCACGUAACCUCUCCUAUGUAACUCUUCAUUAAUGUAUAGGGUAGCCAUGAGUGUGACAGAUAAUUUUGUACACUUGUUUCCAUACUUUCUUCUUUUAGGGAGUUUUUUUCUGCAUCAACAUGUCUGCUAGCAAUCCCCUUCAGGUCUACUGUAGGCUUCCUAUAUGUACUGGAGAAAAUACUAGGGCACUAGCUAGCUUCAUUAUUUAUUCUAUUAUUUUAAGAAUCCAUGUGCAGUCCUUCAAUAAAAAAGAAAGUAACUUCAACGUAGUUUGUGGAUAAAACAAAAAUAUCAUGUAAGCAUGUAGUCGAUGAUCUGUAAAACUAAAAUCUAGAGGGAAAACUUGAAAACAAUACGGAUGAAAUUAAGAGUUAAAAGGUCUGGAAAGAGCAACACCUCUUUUGGCCUUAUGAUCGUUGUUGUCAUUGUCACUAUCUUCAUCUUCAAUAACUUUUCAGUGCCCUGCAGUAAAAAGAUAUCAGAAUUGGAGCCGCACAUUGUGAUUUGUAUAUAGAGCCAAAGUCUUUCUGAAGCUUGUGCUAACUUCUGGUCAUAACAGCUGAAACAGGACAAUCAUCAUUCCUAGAUGUGCAGUUUUUUCAUCUCAAAAAUCGUUUUGCAACUGAGACUUCCCGGUGUUUUCCCAGCUUAGUCACAACUCUUAUUGUCUUGAUCGAGAUGAGGUGGAGAUAAGUAAAUGAAUAAGUAGUUUGAGGCUGGCUUGCUUUGCUCUGAACAAUGGUGGAGCAGCCUUCUGCAUUGACAAAUGGGAUGACAGCUCACCUGGGGAGGAUAAGUCAUGAGCCAAGUGCACUAGCUGGCCUUUGUAGUAGGGAGAGAACAAUCAGAGAGCAUAAAGCAGUUGCUGGGAGAUGCUAUGAUUAGGGUUUGCAUCAUUUUUCAUCACAGACAC